rnacentral:rRNA from 1 species
AGCGAACGCUGGCGGCAGGCCUAACACAUGCAAGUCGAACGAACUCUUCGGAGUUAGUGGCGGACGGGUGAGUAACACGUGGGAACGUGCCUUUUGGUUCGGAAUAACUCAGGGAAACUUGUGCUAAUACCGAAUGUGCCCUUCGGGGGAAAGAUUUAUCGCCAUUAGAGCGGCCCGCGUCGGAUUAGCUAGUUGGUGAGGUAAAAGCACACCAAGGCGACGAUCAGUAGCUGGUCUGAGAGGAUGACCGGCCACACUGGGACAGAGACACGGCCCAGACUCCUACGGGAGGCAGCAGUGGGGAAUCUUGCGCAAUGGGCGAAAGCCUGACGCAGCCAUGCCGUGUGAAUGAUGAAGGUCUUAGGAUUGUAAAAUUCUUUCACCGGGGACGAUAAUGACGGUACCCGGAGAAGAAGCCCCGGCUAACUUCGUGCCAGCCGCCGCCGUAA